rnacentral:rRNA from 1 species
GACGAACGCUGGCGGCGUGCCUAAUACAUGCAAGUCGAGCGGAUCUUCUCCUUCGGGAGUUGGUUAACGGCGGACGGGUGAGUAACACGUAGGCAACCUGCCCCUUUGAUCGGGAUAACAUUCGGAAACGAUUGCUAAGACCGGAUACAUCAUUCUGCCGCAUGGCUGGUAUGAGGAAACACGGCGCAAGCUGUGGCAGAGGGAUGGGCCUGCGGCGCAUUAGCUAGUUGGUGGGGUAACGGCGCACCAAGGCGACGAUGCGUCGCCGACCUGGGAGGGGGAACGGCCACACUGGGACUGAGACACGGCCCAGACUCCUACGGGAGGCAGCAGUAGGGAAUCUUCCACAAUGGGCGAAAGCCUGAUGGAGCAACGCCGCGUGAGUGAGGAAGGCUUUCGGGUCGUAAAGCUCUGUUGCCAGGGAAGAAUAAGGAUCAUUUAACUGAUGAUCCGAUGACGGUACCUGAGAAGAAAGCCCCGGCUAACUACGUGCCAGCCGCCGCGGUAACAC